UAUACAGCACCAAGAUGUACCCCAGGUUCUCUUAUACCAUAUUUCCCCAAGGCACUUCUUGUUUGUGUGGGGGAUGGGGGAAGAGGAACAGAACUUAGAUGAGCCAGAAGAAAGGAAUAGUAGACCAGGAUGAGACAUGUCUGGAGAAAGGCUGCCUUAGGAUCCUCUGGGCUCUGAUUAGCUUCUGAGUGUGCUGGGGUGUGAAUCUUCCUUCCAGUGUGCGAGUGCUCCCUUGGCUCUGACAGCCCUUUAAAGGCCGCAGAUGCUCACCAGGUUUAAUUUCACUUCUAGCAAAAGCUCACCAGAGGAAAACAUCCGCAAGAAGACAGAAGGCAACAAGAAGUCAGAGGGCAGUAGGAUGGGGCAGGUGACCAGAAAAUCAAGAAGCUAAGCAAGCUACUGAGAAAGGUUUUGAUAGAAUUUCCUCUAACUUGCUGCAGAAGGCCUACGUGCCGAGGCCGGUACACCACAGUCUAUCUGAGCGCCGUGCUGUGGAGUGAGAUACCAGUGAGGAAACGGUAAACAAUGCAACUGUUAAGAUACUAACUCACUGGAUGUAAAUUUGAAGAACACUCCCAAACUGAUAUUUUUGGCAUAAGUAAUGAAUCAUCCCUAGUAGACCAAAGUCUGCGAGAAGUAUGACAGUAUUCCUUUGAGAAG